CCCCUGAACGAAAGGCGGUGGCGAUCAGGUUUCGUUUUGUGUAGAUUAUCGAAUUUGUUGUUUCUCUUCUUCUGUUUGGGUUUGAUUCUAUGCUUUCGAUAUCGAUAUCGAUGGAUUAAGUUUUGUUAUCGCUAUGCUUUAGGUUUUGGUGAUGGAUUUUGCUAACCGAUUAAAAGUUGGAUCUAAUGACCUUCGAAGGUUGUGACUGUAUAAAGAACCAGAGAUUGUGUAUAUUUGCAGGCGUGUUUUAUUGGUUCAGAUGAGACCCAAACGACAUCGUGGAUCAUGUGACGGCAUCGUGUAUUCAGUACCUAGUUAUGCUUGCGUUUUGAUUUGGACGAAAACCUCAUCGAUUUACCUUCUAUGGGAGAUCUUUCGUUUACCUCCUUUGAUUUUGUUCUGAAGUUUACAAUAUAAUGAUUUGGAAAUUCCCCUCGGUUUUUAUCAAUCAAAUAAGCGGAGCUUUGCUGUUAUUUUUCAGGCCUCGUUUGCGGUGUUUGACACACGAGGGUUAGAUGUUUGGUUAGCUGAUAACUCGAUAGGUUCUUAUGGGAUCUGAUUGUGGAUGGCUACGAGGUUGGAUUUUUCUACUGUUUUACGGAUGCAAUGGAAUGUUGAAUUUCAAAAUUGUCUAUCCGGAUCUAUUGAUUUGCAGGAGAUAUAGUAAUAGUAUUGCGGAUGGCUUUGGGCUUAUUACUGCACAUUUGUCGUCUUUGGAUAGAGCGUAGUGCACUCCAUUUGUAAAGGUUUUCGUUGGUUUGCUGCAUAUGGAUUAUUGUUUUUGGUUACCUGUUUAUUCUUUUACAGUUUGUCAAAAUGCGAGUAUUUAUAUAUCUUUCUAGUCCCUGAAAUUUGUAAGUAAUAUCAUGUUUAUGUCCUCCUUUUCUCUAUAAUCAUGCCAAACCUUCUGCUCUUUUAUUGACA